GCCUUAUCUUUCCAGUCGUCCAGCAUGCUCUGCCCACCCCACGCCGAGGUGCACUGACCAUGAGCCUCAACUCCUCCCUCGGCUGCAGGAAGGAGCUGAGUAACCUCACUGAGGAGGAGGGUGGCGAAGGGGGCGUCAUCAUCACCCAGUUCAUCGCCAUCAUUGUCAUCACCAUUUUUGUCUGCCUGGGAAACCUGGUCAUCGUGGUCACCUUGUACAAGAAGUCCUACCUCCUCACCCUCAGCAACAAGUUCGUCUUCAGCCUGACCCUGUCCAACUUCCUGCUGUCCGUGUUGGUGCUGCCUUUUGUGGUGACGAGCUCCAUCCGCAGGGAAUGGAUCUUUGGUGUAGUGUGGUGCAACUUCUCUGCCCUCCUCUACCUGCUGAUCAGCUCGGCCAGCAUGCUAACCCUCGGGGUCAUUGCCAUCGACCGCUACUAUGCUGUCCUGUACCCCAUGGUGUACCCCAUGAAGAUCACGGGGAACCGGGCUGUGAUGGCACUUGUCUACAUCUGGCUUCACUCGCUCAUCGGCUGCCUGCCACCCCUGUUUGGUUGGUCAUCGGUGGAGUUUGAUGAGUUCAAAUGGAUGUGUGUGGCUGCUUGGCACCGGGAGCCUGGCUACACGGCCUUCUGGCAGAUCUGGUGUGCCCUCUUCCCCUUUCUGGUCAUGCUGGUGUGCUAUGGCUUCAUCUUCCGCGUGGCCAGGGUCAAGGCACGCAAGGUGCACUGUGGCACAGUCGUCAUCGUGGAGGAGGAUGCUCAGAGGACCGGGAGGAAGAACUCCAGCACCUCCACCUCCUCUUCAGGCAGCAGGAGGAAUGCCUUUCAGGGUGUGGUCUACUCGGCCAACCAGUGCAAAGCCCUCAUCACCAUCCUGGUGGUCCUCGGUGCCUUCAUGGUCACCUGGGGCCCCUACAUGGUUGUUAUUGCCUCUGAGGCCCUCUGGGGGAAGAGCUCCGUCUCCCCGAGCCUGGAGACUUGGGCCACAUGGCUGUCCUUUGCCAGCGCUGUCUGCCACCCCCUGAUCUAUGGACUCUGGAACAAGACAGUUCGCAAAGAACUACUGGGCAUGUGCUUUGGGGACCGGUAUUAUCGGGAACCAUUUGUGCAACGACAGAGGACUUCCAGGCUCUUCAGCAUUUCCAACAGGAUCACAGACCUGGGCCUGUCCCCACACCUCACGGCACUCAUGGCAGGUGGACAGCCCCUGGGGCACAGCAGCAGCACGGGGGACACUGGCUUCAGCUGCUCCCAGGACUCAGGUAACCUGCAUGCUUUAUAAGCCUCUCGCCUGUCGCGUUUUCCCCGUGUUGCGUUUCCCCCAUGUCGCGUUUCCCCAGUG
rnacentral:sRNA from 1 species